ACACACAUACACACACACACACACACACACACAUACAGAGGGAGAAAGAGAGAGAGAGAUGAGAGCUGUGUAUAUGCUGCAUACAUAUCCAUGUGUGUGUGUGUGUGUGUGUUUGUGUGUGUUUGUGUGUGUGUGGAGCUCAACGUGUCCCUCGACCAUUUCUCGGCCCCUCACACAGUCCUGACCAACAUUCUUUUAUACACACAGACAGCAUGUCAACCACGUGACCCCUUCAGCCAGGGGACGGUCAGGUAGGACAGGUGCGUUUAUGACACGUGUCCAAGAGGAGUGUGUGUCUGACCUCCAUUCAGGAGCUGACACGCAGAUUCCAUACACACCACACACGCAACGAUCUCAGAUGGUUUAUUGUAUUAUAGUUUAUGUUAUACCACAUCAUUGGUGAAUUCUGGAUUUGUGAGGAGAUGUUUAUCUAACAUUUACGGAAGGACUUGCGCUUUACGGUUUCUCCGUAAUAGGACAAGCUGCAUUUUUUGUCUUAUUUACAUCAAGAGAAGGACUAAAAUUCCAAAAACAAACUGAAGGCUUUACAUUUAUCAAGAUAGUGGCCUGAGAGAGAGAACGAGAGAGAGACAGAGACAGAAAGAGCGAGAGAGACAGAGAGAGAGAGAGAGUCAUGCUAGAGUUACUCCUCCUGUUAAAUCUCAGCUUGGCUACAUUGAUUUUGCUCAAGUUUGGCAUUACCAGCAGUAAAUAAUGUGUGUGAGUGUGUGUGUGUGUGUGUGUGUGUGUGUGUGGGCUUUGGCCUUUCUGCAUUCAUUCCGAGUGGCUGUUUGAACACAGAGCAGCACACGCACUCCUCUUUCCUCUAUCAUCCCGCUCGCCUCUUAUAUCCAAAUAUUGACACCGGCCACUUUUAUCAGUGCUAAACUGCUCACGAGCCUCGCGCACACCUCGAUUUCCUGCUAUCGAUUAUCUCCUUCCCGGCAGCAGGUAGUCGUCCUGUCCUUGCAGGCUGUCCAGAGGAAUCGCUUCCAAACGGCUUUAUAUGCACAAUUUACACGCCCACUGGCGUUCUAAAGAGAACAUUAUCCUCGGUUCAAAUCUCGUGAAAAACGCAACUCGUGGGUGCGUUCCUCAUUUUUCGUUCACUGCUUGAUAUAUCCAUCAUGUUUUGAUGCGUGUUUGUAUAACAGCACUGAUCUGUUAGCACCAAAAAAAAAAAAAUCAUCGCACCGAAUGGUUUUGAUUAGGAUCAAUCAGGAAGCAGGCAACAAAGAACCUUCUUAUAUUGGGUAUAUGAAGUGAAAAUGAGAAGCAGGAAAAAAAGCCUUUCGCCGGAUUGUUUCAAGGUCUAACGUACAGAAUGUGGCAUCUUGGGUUUAUCCUUUGCCUCACAGUUCAAGGACUUUUUUUUUCUACACCAAAGGUCAGAAGUGUAACAUAAUUAUCCUGCGUAUGCGCACUAUAGGAAACAUAUGCUUCAGACCCAUAUGGAUUCAUAAUCCACUGCUAGGAAGCAUGGUGUUUGAUGGUGAAUUGACAGAGUUGUGUUUAUUUCAUUUAUUCAACUGUGGUUAAUUGAAGAAUUUUGGUUUAUUUCAGCCUGUCAUUCGAGGAGCUGUUGAGGAACCUGUGUAGUGCACCUUACACACACACGCGCAGUACAGGACACCUCUGUUGUUGGUAGAUAUAAAAUCAUCCUGAAUGACACAGAUAAUGAGAGCCGACCCGCACAACGCACACAUAAACAAGCUCCGAGGCCCGCGUGAUGAGCGCCGCUACACUCCCUCCAGUUGAAAAAAUAUUUGCUUUAGCGCUCAUAAACAACAAGUUUCUCUCUCUCUUUUUUUUGCUUUCCCUGAGCUGAAAUGUGGCCUGUCACAAAAGGUGCAUUCAUGGGGGAAAAAAGCCCCUCACCCGGAUCCUUGGUGGCAGGAGAUGAGCUGCUUCAGCUCCAGAAUUAAAUUAUUUUUAAAUGCAGCUUAUGCAUUUUACAUGACCCAUGCUGCUUCCUCUACCCUCUUCUAUCCUUGCCUCACUUCUUUCUCUUUUUUUCCCUCUUUUAAAGAGCUCGGAGGUGGUGGAGGUAGAGGUGGAGGUGGAUGUGGAGGUGGAGGUGGUGGAGGUGGAAGGGGGAGCCAGGAUGUUGAACCCCAGGAAUCAGAGACUUGCUGAAAGUUAACCGUUCUGGCCUGCUUUUUGCGUCUGGUGUCACUGGUGGUGACAAAGCCCACCUGAAACCCUCGACCUCGCCAAUUUUAUCACUGUAUUCACGAAUCCUUGUGUCCGUGUGGGAUUUGAGUGAUCUACUGUAACGCACAAGAGUAACGAAUAACCGCCGGUGGAGAGGAAGUGAACACAGAAACGCAGCGAGCGUUGCUGGGUGCUUCUUUCGGAUUUAUCCGCCUUUCCCGGCGCUUCCCUCCUGCAGCUCUGCGAUCCCAGGAUGUUUCAUCUUCUUUGGGGAAUUUCAUGGCAGUUAGUCCUUGUCAUCAGUGAACUUCGCAACGUAAUAAAACACUGCCUCCAUUUUUUUUACUACUCUUUUUUGUGGACAUAUCUGAGGCCGGAUUCCCUCCCGUUACUGUUUCCUGUAGUCGUGUCCGUGUGUUAUCUCAUACACCUAAUAAAAAAGCCGAGGCUCCUGUGGGAGAUUGGAAGGUU